rnacentral:rRNA from 1 species
CGCGGCCUAUCAGCUUGUUGGUGGAGUAACGGCCUACCAAGGCAACGACGGGUAGCUGGUCUGAGAGGACGAUCAGCCACACUGGGACUGAGACACGGCCCAGACUCCUACGGGAGGCAGCAGUGGGGAAUCUUGCGCAAUGGGCGAAAGCCUGACGCAGCAACGCCGCGUGAGGGACGAAGGUCUUCGGGUUGUAAACCUCUUUCAGCAGGGACGAUUGUGACGGUACCUGCAGAAGAAGCCCCGGCCAACUACGUGCCAGCAGCCGCGGUAAUACGUAGGGGGCGAGCGUUGUCCGGAUUCAUUGGGCGUAAAGAGCUCGUAGGCGGCUUGGUUAGUUGGGUGUGAAACCUCCAGGCUUAACCUGGAGACGCCACUCAAUACUGCCAUGGCUAGAGUCCGGUAGGGGACCACGGAAUUCCUGGUGUAGCGGUGAAAUGCGCAGAUAUCAGGAGGAACACCGGUGGCGAAGGCGGUGGUCUGGGCCGGCACUGACGCUGAGGAGCGAAAGCGUGGGGAGCGAACAGGAUUAGAUACCCUGGUAGUCCACGCCGUAAACGUUGGGCACUAGGUGUGGGGGAUUAUCAACGUCCUCCGUGCCGUAGCUAACGCAUUAAGUGCCCCGCCUGGGGAGUAA